AGAGUUUGAUCCUGGCUCAGGAUGAACGCUAGCUACAGGCUUAACACAUGCAAGUCGAGGGGCAGCAUUUCAGUUUGCUUGCAAACUGGAGAUGGCGACCGGCGCACGGGUGAGUAACACGUAUCCAACCUGCCGAUAACUCGGGGAUAGCCUUUCGAAAGAAAGAUUAAUACCCGAUGGUAUAAUUAGACCGCAUGGUCUUGUUAUUAAAGAAUUUCGGUUAUCGAUGGGGAUGCGUUCCAUUAGGCAGUUGGUGAGGUAACGGCUCACCAAACCUUCGAUGGAUAGGGGUUCUGAGAGGAAGGUCCCCCACAUUGGAACUGAGACACGGUCCAAACUCCUACGGGAGGCAGCAGUGAGGAAUAUUGGUCAAUGGGCGCAGGCCUGAACCAGCCAAGUAGCGUGAAGGAUGACUGCCCUAUGGGUUGUAAACUUCUUUUAUAUGGGAAUAAAGUUUUCCACGUGUGGAAUUUUGUAUGUACCAUAUGAAUAAGGAUCGGCUAACUCCGUGCCAGCAGCCGCGGUAAUACGGAGGAUCCGAGCGUUAUCCGGAUUUAUUGGGUUUAAAGGGAGCGUAGGUGGAUUGUUAAGUCAGUUGUGAAAGUUUGCGGCUCAACCGUAAAAUUGCAGUUGAAACUGGGAGUCUUGAGUACAGUAGAGGUGGGCGGAAUUCGUGGUGUAGCGGUGAAAUGCUUAGAUAUCACGAAGAACUCCGAUUGCGAAGGCAGCUCACUAGACUGUUACUGACACUGAUGCUCGAAAGUGUGGGUAUCAAACAGGAUUAGAUACCCUGGUAGUCCACACAGUAAACGA
rnacentral:rRNA from 1 species